GUAUAACUUAGUGGCAGACGGGUGAGUAAUGUAUAGGAAUCUACCUAGUAGUACGGAAUAAUUGUUGGAAACGGCAACUAAUACCGUAUACGCCCUACGGGGGAAAGAUUUAUUGCUAUUAGAUGAGCCUAUAUUAGAUUAGCUAGUUGGUAAGGUAAUGGCUUACCAAGGCAAUGAUCUAUAGCUGAUCUGAGAGGAUGAUCAGCCACACUGGAACUGAGAUACGGUCCAGACUCCUACGGGAGGCAGCAGUGGGGAAUAUUGGACAAUGGGCGAAAGCCUGAUCCAGCCAUGCCGCAUGAGUGAAGAAGGCAUUUGGGUUGUAAAGCUCUUUCGGUGGGGAAGAUAAUGACGGUACUCACAGAAGAAGUCCUGGCUAACUCCGUGCCAGCAGCCGCGGUAAUACGGAGAGGGCUAGCGUUAUUCGGAAUUAUUGGGCGUAAAGAGCACGUAGGCUGGUUAGUAAGUUAAAAGUGAAAUCCCAAAGCUCAACUUUGGAAUUGCUUUUAAAACUGCUAACCUAGAGAUUGAAAGAGGAUAGAGGAAUUCCUAGUGUAGAGGUGAAAUUCGUAAAUAUUAGGAGGAACACCAGUGGCGAAGGCGUCUAUCUGGUUCAAAUCUGACGCUGAGGCGCGAAGGCGUGGGGAGCAAACAGGAUUAGAUACCCUGGUAGUCCACGCUGUAAACGAUGAAUGUUAAAUAUGGGAAGUUUACUUUCUGUAUUACAGCUAACGCGUUAAACAUUCCGCCUGGGGACUACGGUCGCAAGAUUAAAACUCAAAGGAAUUGACGGGGACCCGCACAAGCGGUGGAGCAUGUGGUUUAAUUCGAUGCAACGCGAA
rnacentral:rRNA from 1 species